GAAAUGCGAUAAGUAAUGCGAAUUGCAGAAUUUCCGUGAGUCAUCGAAUCUUUGAACGCACAUUGCGCCCUUUGGCAUUCCGAAGGGCAUGCCUGUUCGAGCGUCAUUAUCCUCUCUCAAACCCCCGGGUUUGGUGUUGGACCGCGUUGGCCGGCCACGGCCAACUGGUCUCAAAGACAAUGACGGCGUCCCAGGGACCCUCUUCGCACUGAGCUUUCCGGAGCACGCGUAGAGUUUCAAGGGCCCAGGGACCCGGUCGCCUCUAAAAACUUUUUUUCAGGUUGACCUCGGAUCAGGUAGGAAUACCCGCUGAACUUAA
rnacentral:misc_RNA from 1 species